rnacentral:rRNA from 1 species
CAAUAGCGUAUAUUAAAGUUGUUGCAGUUAAAAAGCUCGUAGUUGGACCUUGGACCUGGACAGGCGGUCCGCCUCACGGCGUGUACUGUCUUGCUGGGUCUUUCCUCUUGGUGAUCUGUUGUUUCGGCAGCAGGGAACCAGGACUUUUACUUUGAAAAAAUUAGAGUGUUCAAAGCAGGCUCGACGCCGGAAUAUAUUAGCAUGGAAUAAUAAAAUAGGACGUGCGGUUCUAUUUUGUUGGUUUUUGGAAUCGCCGUAAUGAUUAAUAGGGACAGUCGGGGGCAUUAGUACUCACAUGCUAGAGGUGAAAUUCUUGGAUUUUGUGAAGACUAACUUCUGCGAAAGCAUUUGCCAAGGAUGUUUCCAUUAA